GCUGGGCACAGUGGUGGGUGCCUGUAGUCCCAGCUACUUGAGAGACUGAGGUGGGAGGAUCGCUUGAGUCCAGGAGUUCUGGGCUGUAGUGCGCUAUGCUGAUCGGGUGUCCGCACUAAGUUCAGCAUCAAAAUGGUGACCUCCCGGGAGCAGGGGACCACCAGGUUGCCUAAGGAGGGGUGAACCGGCCCAGGUCGGAAACGGAGCAGGUCAAAACUCCCGUGCUGAUCAGUAGUGGGAUCGCGCCUGUGAAUAGCCACUGCACUCCAGCCUGGGCAACAUAGCGAGACCCCAUCUCU
rnacentral:SRP_RNA from 1 species